rnacentral:lncRNA from 1 species
GGCAUUGUGCUAAGUUAAAUCAGUCUGACAAAGACAAAUACUGUAUGAUAUCAUUUAUAUGUGGAGUGUGAAAAAUACAACAAACUAGUGAAUAACAGAACAACCCACAUAAAAGCUGACUCACAGAGAGCGAGAAAUAACGAGUGGUUACCAGGGUGGAGAGAGGAGGGGGGAAGGAGCAGGUGAUUAAGGGGUACGAACUACCAUGUAUAAAAUAAGCUCAAGGAUAUAAGGUGUAACAGGGCACACAGCCACUAUUUUAUAAUAACUAUCCACGGCGUAUAACCUUUAAAAAUUCUGAAUCACUGUAUCGUUCACCUGUAACGUAUAAUAUUGUACAGCAACUAGACUUCGGUGUUUAAAAGGCAUCAGCCUGGGCAAUGCUACGACCUACCAGAGAAAUUCCUGGGAUUCAUACGAUGUCCUCAAAGGGCGUAAAGCUUAGAAACACUCAGACGGGACCUGAGCCCUGGAUAAUGGCAACUAUUAUUUCUAUAUUUUUCUGCUAGCUGCAUGGUAAGGCAGGGGGCUGCAGAAUGACUUUUUUUUUUUUUUUUUUUUUAAACAAACAGCAGAACGUUAAUGCCUACAGUGAAUAUCAUUCAUUCACAGUUUUCUCCACGGCACUGAGACCCACGGGAGUAAUUAUGUCACGGCCUCGCCCAUGCCCGGUCCCAGGGCUGCCCUUGGCUCUGCCGAGAAGGGGGCUGUGCCUCAGGGUCACAUUAUCCCCAGAGCCCCACACCAGGCCUGGGACACUGGAGCGAUGACAGGAAAGGCCCUUGCCCUGUUUGCCAUGUUUUUGACAUCUUCUUUCAGAAAGGCUUGCAGGUUCUAAGCCAGCGGCUUUGGUGCAGCCCCUGUGGGGACGAGGCUUCAACUUUGAGGAUGGGCUUUAUUUUUGGAAACUGUGGAACGUUCGGACCCUCGACGGCAAGUAAGGGGAGGGGAGCCUGUCAAAUCAUGCUGAGCCGAGCCAUCUUUGGUCAGAGGAGCAAAGAAGCCAUGCAAGGUGGAGUUUGGGGAAGAGAAAAUGCAGAUGUGCAUAAACCGCUGGCAGCAGAGCACAGCCAGCUGUCCACGGGGACCUGGUGGAGGCGAAGUCUGAUUUGGUUCCCUAAUCAAAUUGGAGUGAGGGGGAGGGAUGGGCCGUUACCGCUGUGGAAAUUUCUCUUUUACUUUAUUUCUUGCUUUUUAGGGUGGCACCUUCAGCAUGUGGAGGUUCCCAGGUGUGGCCCUAAAAAGAAGAAAGUAAAAAAAGUACAGAGUCUUUGAGCCAACAAUUCCCUUCUAGGAAUUAACCUAUAAGACACUCCCACCAGCCCUCCCACACUGAUGCGAUGAGCCUGAAGAUGGUACAGGGUGAAUAAUUUGUUCACCAACACUGGGAAACCCUCUCCCUCAAAGGCAGGUCGCAGGCAGCGGCCGAGGGUAUAAUGGGGGAAAAGAGGAUCCCUGAACCUUGCUGAGGGGAGCAGGUAUGGGUGCAGUUUUGUUGGAGGCAAUUUUGCAGUAGCCAUCUACUGCAAACCUCGAUCAGAAAAGUGCAGGAGUUCCCGUCAUGGGUCAGCGAAAAGAUACGUGCACUAUCUACAACAGUCCAAACAUGGGAGCAGCCAAAAUGUCCAUGGACGGAUAAAGGAAGAAAGAAACUAUAUGUGGUAGCUAUAUGCAGUGGAAUAUUACUCAGCCAUAAAAAAGAAUGAAAUGAUGCCAUUCGCAGCAACAUGGAUGGAACUAGAGUUGAUCAUACUAAGUGAAAGUAAGUCAGACGAAUAUCACGUGAUAUCACUUCCGUGUGGAAUCUUAACAAAUCAUGCAAGUGAACUUACAAAACAGAAACAGACUCACAGACUUCAAAAACAUACUCUGGUUCCCAAAGGGGGCGGGUGGUGGGGAGGGAUGGAUUGAGGGUUUGAGACUGGCAGGUGUGCCCUGUGCUAUAGGAAAUGGAGGAUCAGCAGGGACCAUACAGCACAGGAAACUCUACCCGAUAUUCUGUAAUAACUUAGAUGGGCAAAGACUCUGACAAAGAAUGGAUAUGUGUUUAUCUGAAUCACGUCGCUGUAAGAGCAGAAAUUAUCCAAACAUUGUACCGCAACUGUACUUCCACAAAACUUUAAAACAUGAGGGGGGGGGAACCCUCCCAUCUAUUUUCAAAGACAUAAGAAGAAGGACACACAGUGUCACACAUUUAUAUUUAUAUGUAAGUGUGUAGCCCGUCUCCAAAAAUGGCCCCAACAAUUUUCCCGCCUCGUGCACAGGCACAGGUGCUGCUUCCACAGGAAGAGGAAGAGCUUGUCUCCCAUGCCCUUGAACGUGGGCCUGUCCGGUGACUGGAGUAGAUCAAGAGAAUGUGGCAGAAGUGACAUUCGGGAAGCCAGCCCCAUGUGAUGAGAAACCCAAGCCACAUGACGAGUGAGAGGACAGCCCGAGAGCUCCUGGUGACAGCCCAGCUCAACGCCCAGCCACCAGCCAGCACCAGCAGCCAGCGGGCACAUUCUGGACUUUGCAUUCUCGCCACCAUCGCCUGAGGCCGAAGAACCACUCAAUCCACACAGACACGAGGAAAACAGAAGUUGUUCUUCUGGAGCUCUCAUCACGGCGCAGCGGAAACCAAUCCAACUAGGAACCAUGAAGUUGCAGGUUCGAUCCCUGGCCUCGCUCAGUGGGUGAGAGAUCCAGCGUUGCUGUGAGCUGUGGUGUAGGUCGCAGACGUGGCUCGGAUCCGGCGUUGCUGUAGCUGUGGUGUAGACCGGCAGUUGGAUAUCCGAUUGGACCCCUAGCCUGGGAACCUACAUAUGCCGUGGGUGUGGCCCUAAAAAGACAAAAAAAAAAAGUUCUAAACCACUAAGUUUUAAGAGCUUUGUUCCUCACAAUAGAUCCGAGAAACAGUCUUCAUUGCCAUCUUGUAUGAAAUAAAGAAAAACUGGGGGAGUUCCCA